CGGGUGUAGAAUCUAUUAGAAAAUUGACAAUUGUUUCUUUUGCUACAUUGAUUAAAAUCACAAGGUUCAAACCAGUCAUGAGAUAUGGAAUAAUACUAGAAUAAAGUUCACUUAAAAUCCUUCUUCUCAGUUUAUAAGUAGAAUCCAUUCUAAUAUUGACCUAAUAUUUUCAAAACAAAAAUAGUUUAUAUUAUAUUUACAAGGAUAAAUUAAUUAAUUAUUUUUGUACUGUAACUUACACUGAACGAUGUUCAUGACCUAUACAUUGGGCAGUCAUCCUCAUUGAAACAGCAUGCAAUGGAUGGCUCAAAAUUAUACAUGUGGCAGUAUAUAUCAUUUCUAUUGAUGUGUUUAUUUUACAAUUUCGAUUCUCACAACAAUUCUCUGUCUUGUGCCUUAUACUAAAGUUGUUUGUACAAAUAGACUCUUCCAUCUUUGAUUACUUGACUUAUAUAACACGUUCUUGGCCUGCCUCUUCCACAUUUUCCUUCUAUUAUACCUUCCAGGAUGAUGCUAUGUAGUUUUUCGUUGUGUCAUUAUAACCUAUUAUAUGCCAUCGCCUUGAUCUUAAAUUAUUUAGCAAUGUUUUUUUCUCUUUGACUAAAUCUAAUACUUCUUCGUUUGUCUUCAUUUCCAUCCAUUUUUCACCAACACCACAUUUAUAGAGCUUCUAAAGUGGUUUCAUAUUUUUUGUUCGACGUUCAUGUUUAACUGCCAUAUAAUGUUGUACUUUACACAUAUAUGUUUUAAUUAAAUGUUUUCUUGUUCCUAUAGAUCUACAUUUCUGAUGUUAGUAAUUUACUCUGAAGUAAAAAAUUAUUUUUUUGCUUGCUCUAUUCCACUUUUUAUUUCCUUUUCU